UGUGUAUGUGUAUGUGUGUGUGUUAGAUGUUGAUAUUUUAUGAUGGAUGUGUUGUGUGUGCAUUAGAAGACCUUUCCUUUGCCCUUGAGUUAGACACCGAGAAAGAGCUGUCUCCAUUACGGAAUGAGGUCUCGUCUCCAUCUCGAGCCGGUCAAAGUCUAGUCAAUGGCAGACGGUGAGGAGCGUCGGAUCCGGUGUUCCUCACAGAGCCGAGCCGUGCUCAGGAGAAUGCGAGCGGUAACACGAGGAGUUAAUGGAUCCCAGCUUCCUGCAGAUGAAGCCCCAGCAUCAUCAAUAAUGAAGUGUUAUUGACGUUUAACGUCUCGCUCGGUGUCAUCGAGAUAGCACACCCCCUCCUCUAACCGACAUUACAUCAUCCUCAGAGCAGCCGGGAGGAUUUUAAUGUGUUUUAUUGUCUUAGUUACAGACUGACCUUUUGGGGUUUUGUUUUAUUUGUAUUCUAGGUCAGAAAUCUACUUCUGGAAAGGCUUUGGGAGCUGUCUCGGUUCCAGGAAAAGAGUUGCAGCACGACUGAGGAUGAUGUAUUGAAAUUAAUCAGGCUGGUUCAAGACUAGCUUGUUUUACUAGCUAGUAUAGUUUGUUUUGUUGGUGCCUCAGGAUUCGUGCCACAGCACAGCAAUUUAAUACAAAAAAUAAAGCUAAUAAAGAUCAAGAGCUUUAAAUAGACACCGGAUAGAACUGGAGCUCUCAUAAGUGGCGUACAUUAACACGCAAUUAGAAGAACUCGAUCCCACUUCUGUGCCUGGAUACUGUAACUAAUCUAGCUUGCUAGCUCAUAAGCACUUUAUCUGAAUCGUCGAUUUAUCUGUCUAGCUGACUGGAUAAUAAAGUGGCGUUUACGUUACGUGAUCAGCAAUUUCUUUAGAGAAUUGCUGAUCACACAAGCUUUCCACUAAAGUUGCUGUUGCUAAAUCUGUGUCCAGUUUCAUCCCCCUCCCCCACCCUUUUAUUUUUGUAAAAUCAGCUCUAAAAUGUCCUCGUUUCAUUAUUUUUGGUGAUGUUUGUUAUGCUUUAAAAAAAAAAAAAGUUUAUCCCCAUAGUAAGCUCAAAAAGACAAGCGGAGUUAAGAUGGAGGCAGCAUGAGGAUGAGCUUGGUGAAGUGUCUAUAACAAGACUGAUGAGAAAGGAGACAAUCAAGCAUUCUGUCUGUCUGUCAUUGAAGUCUUAUUAUAUUUUAUAAGGCUUUUGAAUCAGAUGGAUUUUCCACACUUUGUUGGAAGCACCUGACAACAGGAACCAGUCGAAUAAUGAAAGCUUGAAUAGGCAGAACUUUCCGACUUGACAAGGACCUCCCCUUGAUGUCGUACCUUUUUCUUGGGCUGAAAUCACCCACGGGGCUUUCUAUAACGUCGAUGUAGUGAUCACAUCGUGUAAGAAAAUGAACUUGAGCUAGCUUGGCAUUGAAGUAAAUUUACUAGCGUUACAGUCAGGCGCUGUUCUGGCUAGCUAGCAAAGCGCUCCAUGACGUAUUGUAAGGUGUGAAAUUGUUGCUAGCGUAACACCAUGUGGGUGUUGCUGGGGUGCUAGCUAAACAAAUAACUGAAGAACUCGCUACUGUACUAGAUACCAUGACUAGUAUCUAAUACUAUGAAAUAUUAAAUAAAAAAAAUAAGUUGUUAAUGUCUUCCAUGGAUAUAGAUUGAUAGUUAGCUCAACAGAAAAACUUGUACAGGGGCAUUUGAGGUAUAAAUCAUGCCACAGGAGACAUCUUCAGUCAGCACACAGUGUUGUGAGGAGAACAUUAACAUAUUUUACUGGAAAUGUUUGUGUGUGUGAGAGAGAGAUUUAAAAAUCACAGACACUAGCUUUAACUGCUCUUUCUAGAAGCUCCAUUUUGUCAGCAGAUUGUUGUGGCAGGUUUAACAGCAUCAUGCGAGGCGUUCGCUCAUGUCAAACACACAUGCGGUGUAGAAACUGGUCUUGUUUCUGUUUUCUUUCCACUCUGUUAAGGUUCGGUUUGGCUUUCUUCAGUGAAGCUUAAAUGAAUGCCUUUAAGGUCGGUGAUGCUUAUUGGCUGAACAAGUUCCUGUGCCGGGUUUCACUUUAGCUAACGUACACUGAAGCAUCACCACUUCCUCCCGCUACUUCUGCAUAAUGCGCCUUUCUCAUGAAGAAGAACAGCUGUAAGUUCUUUUCAAAAUGGUCUCAUUUACUCUCUUUUUUCUUUAACGGCGUUGCUCUUUUUCAGUCUGAAAAUGUCCAGUGGGUUAAUGGAGGUGAAAAGCUGCUUCAUGUAGAAUCUAGCCAGGCCACUCUUUUUUUUUUUCUUUUUUUUUCUUUCCUGCUUUUCAAAAAAAAACAAAAAACCCGAGAGUAUGACAGCUAAGCAGAAAUGCAAACUGUAGUACGUGCUGUAUAUUUCAUAUAUUUUUAUGCUUCUAGAAGAAUAAUAUGUUAAUGCAAUUUAUAAAGACUACCGAGUUUAAUCCUGCAUCGCUUCUGCUCAUGGGUUGUUAAUACACACUCAGAAAUAAUGCUACUAAAAUGUACCUUGUUGCUGGGGUCGUACCAUCGAAGGCACGUGCUUUGAACCUUUUAUUAUUUAUCUCGCCUGGAAACGUGAACUCGGUGUACCAUAGUGUACCUAUAAAUUAUUUAAGAUGCAUAAUUAGUCUUUCAGGACCACUGAUAACCACUGUGCCUGUUAAAACGUGAACCUACAAAUGAAUUAAUUAAAGGUUCACCCUAUGCACCUUCCCAGGUAAAAGAUACAAGGUAGAAAAGGAGUACCCUUGGUGGUACCACCCCAGAGACAAUGAAAAGUACAGUUUGGUACCUUUUUUUUUAUUUCUGAUCUUUUGACGUUGUAGUGAAGUUGAGCUGAUGCUGGAGCUCACACUAUGCCAUAUGGCACAAUGUGUUGAUGCAUUAUUUAGUAUGUGAUUUGGUGCGUGUCCUAAGGUUGUAUUUUAAUUAUCUGUACUACAUUGACACACUAGGUAUUACAUUAGAAUGCAGUUUGGGACAAAUCCGGAGUCCUGAGGUCGUAUUUUGAUCGUUAGUACUGUAUUAUUUUUACACACUAUAUAGUAUGGUUCAGUAGUAUGAGGUUUGGGAUGCAUCCUGAGUCCUGAGGUCGUAUUUUGAUCGUUAGUACUGUAUUAUUUUUACACACUAUAUAGUAUGGUUCAGUAGUAUGAGGUUCGGGACAUGUCCUGAGCUUGUAUUUUAAUCAUCCGUACUAUUUUGAUACACUAUUACAUUGAUAUGCGGUAUGGGACGUGUCCUGAUUCCCGAGGCUGUAUUUUAAUCAUCAGCACUGCUUUGGUGCACUAUUUAGUGCAUUACUGUGUGGUUUGGGACGUGGCCCGAGUUUGUAUUUUAAUAAUGCUUUCUAUUUUAACACGCUAUUUAUCACAGUGGUAUGUGGUUUGAGACGUGUCCUGAGGUAGAACUGUAAUCCUCCAUACUGUUUUUGACAUACUGAGCAGUACAGUCUGUGUGCACCGUUUAGUACAUUUGUACGUGAUUUGGGACAUAGCCCGAGUCUUUGUGUUUUAAUCAGUCAUACACUCGGCAAAAAAAAAAAAAAAAGGGGCGUCCCUUUUUCAGGAGACUGUAUUUUAAAGAUCAUUUUGUAAAAUCUAAAUAAGCUUUACGGAUCUGUAUUGGAAAGAGUUUAAACGAUGAUUUUCAUGCUCGUUCGAUGAACCAUAAACAGUUAUCGCACAUGCUCCUGUGGAACAAUCCUUAAGACACGAACAGUGUACAGGCGGUAGAUGAUUAAGGACACAGUUACAAUAAGUUAGGACACUAAAGAGUCCUUUGUACUGACUCUGAAAAACACCAGACGAAAGAUGUCUAGGGUUCCUUCUCACCUGUGUGAACAUGCCAUAGGCCUGCUGCAGGGAGGCAUGAGGACUGCACAUGUGUUCAGAGCGAUAAACUGCGAUGUCUGUAAUGUAAGACGCCUAAGACGGUGCUACAGAGAGACAGGAAGGACAGCUGAUCGUCCUUGUGAUGGAGAACUUGUAAAUGCCUUGGUGGAGGAACAUCUCAGCAAGAACUGACCAAUCUGGUGCAGUCCAUGAGGAUGAGAUGCACUGUAGUACUUAAAGCAGCUGGUGGACACACCACAUACGGACUUUUAAUAAUAAUAUUGAACCCCCCUUUAUUCAGGGACUCAUUAUUCCAUUUCUGUUCGUCAAACGUCUGUUAAAAUUCUUCAGUUCCUGAAUCUUUUUAUGUUAAUACAAUACUAAUAUUUACACGUGAAGAAAUUCACUGGAAAUAAAAGCAGUGGAAUGUGA
ensembl:lncRNA